AGACAAAAACAGCCGGCUCUAUGAGACAGAAGAAGUUGAGGACUACAGCCAAAGUUUUCAGGAAUCCCAUUUUACUCCAAAUGGACGAGCUAAAACUACUAUUUCUUCAGGAAUUAAAUUUUUUCUUUGCGUCGUCUUCUUCCACCUCAACAUCAACUCCACUAUCCAAUCACCCAUCAGGUAACACCUCUCUCUCUCUUUUAAGACAUUCUUUUUCUUUUAUGGUUUGAUUCUUGCAUUCUGAAGUUGCAAUGAGAAAUCCAAAUGAAGCAAAGUUGACUUCAAGGGGGAAUAUCUGUUCUUUAGUUUUUAAGACUAACAAUUUCUUGGUGGUGUUUGGUUUUGUCAGUUUGAUGUAUCUUUUUUUUUCUGCCUAUAGUCUUCAUGUCUUUCCAAUGCAAUGCAGUAAAGUUUCUUUAAUCCAAUCAUGUCCUGCUUCACUCUACUAUGUACCCAACACCAUUAUCGGCCUCCAAGAAACAGCUUCUUUAUUCCAUGUGAAUGCUAGUGUAGUUAAUAGGACUGUUGAUGGUUUCUUGGUUACCAUAAAUUGCAGUUGUUCAGUUACCCAAGAUUACUUCACUUGGCAAAUGGACUACUUGGUCCAACCUGGGGAUUCAUGGGAGAGCAUUUCCUGGAAAUUUGGCUCAUUUGUGGUGGAAAACCACACAAAUGCAUUAAAUUCAUUGCAAAAUACGACACUAGAUUUUUUAUGUGGUUGUUCUGAAACUGCACAUGUGAUAACCUACAGGGUUAAAAAGGGAGAUACAUUGUUUACUAUUUGUUCUCGGUUUAAUGUUGAUUUAAACAUGACUGCCCGGUCCAAUAGGCUGGAAAAUCCACACCUUAUCUAUGAUGGUGAUAUUCUAUUUAUCCCGGAACCAGGUAAGAAAGAUAAUUGUUCAUUUCUUUGUCUGAUGAUUGGUGCUAUCUAUCUUAUCCACAUUUCGCAUGUUCUUUGUGUAUUUAUUAUCUAUUGGUUGGUUUGGUUUUAUUGUCCUUAGUACAAACACUUUUAAGGCUUAAAUAUGGGAGCAUAAAAUUGUUACAUAAGGGACAUUUCCAUCUGAUAAAUGAUUUCAGGAUUUUCUUUUUCAAAAUUUUGAAACAUAAUUCAAUCUAUAGAACAUAUGUUAUCAUCUUGGCCAGUAAUUUGAACCUAAGACCUGACUCAAUUCCAGGCUUCCCUUUAUAAUGCUAUUGUUUGGCUUGCACUUUGGUCUUUAAAGUAAUAAGGGAAUUUGGAGCAGUUCAUUUUCAAUUGGGAAGCUCUUUCCAGCUUCUUAUAUGAUUGAGUGGGAAAGCACAUAAAUUUGUUUGCACUUAAAGCUUUUCAUAUGUUUGCAUUUUGGGGGGUUUGUGUUUUGAAUUCAGCCCAUCUAUUAAUAAUACACAUAUGUACUUCACCUGCUGAUUAAUUAUCUUGUUGGACUUUACAGAAGGGGGCCUUCAAAACCUCACCAUACUUGAAGUGGACAGAAAAGAUACAAAGGAUAGAAAAGCAUCAAAAUCUCGAAUUCGUAUUCUGGUUGGAGCCAUAUCUAGUGCUUUUAUUAUCAUACUGUUAGCAGUUGUACUUGUAUUCUGGAAAAAAAUUAGGGCCAACAGAGCUCGACAAUCAGAAGCUUUUUCACAGAGACCAUAUUGCUUGCUUUGUAAUCUUGAUGAGUGCUCUUGCUCUAGAAGUAAUAUAGCUUGACCUGAAAAACUUCUAUCUUUUUUUCUUCCUUUUUGUCUUUUUUCCCUGUAUCAAUGAUGAUUGAUUUAUGCAUUUGAACCAUGUUGGAGGCUAGCUAAAUUUGUACACAUUAUGGUUGUUCAUGGACAUUUCAUUGCAGAAUGUGAAGAAAGCCCAGCUUCCUCAUUGAACUCUGAUAAAGCUACUGUUUUCCCUUACUAUGAAAUUAUUGACGCAACUUCCAACUUUAGUGUAACUUCAAAGGUUGGCCAAGGAUCAUAUGGGUCAGUUUAUCAUGGAAAAUUAAGAGGAACUGUAAGCUAGUGAUUUCAUCUAAAAUGUUUCUCUAAAAGUAUGUGCAAGAAUUAUUAAUUCUAUGGGAACUUUUUCCCUCCUCAUAGCCUAUUUUAACAUUUAUGCAGGAUGUUGCCAUCAAGCAGAUGAAAAGUACAAAGACAAAAGAGUUCAUGUCAGAACUAAACAUUCUUUGCAGAGUUCAUCAUUCAAACUUGAUUGAGCUUAUUGGAUAUGCAGCUGGUGGAGAUUCUUUGUUUCUGGCCUAUGAAUUUGCCCAAAAUGGUGCAUUGAGUGAUCAUCUGCACAGUCUCACCUUAAGAGGUCAUAAACCUCUUCCUUGGGUUACACGUGCCCAGAUUGCUCUUGAUGCCGCUAAAGGGCUUGAGUAUAUACAUGAGCACACAAAACCAUAUUAUGUCCAUCGUGAUGUGAAGACGAGCAAUAUUCUUUUAGAUUCCAAUUUUCGUGCAAAGGUGAGCAUCCAUAUCUUUGACAAAAUUAGGACUUUCAAAAUUUAUUGGAAUGAUAUCGAGCAUUGCAUUUUUAUCUGCAUUCAUACUGGAAAUUUGAACACUAGAGAUGCUAAGGAUUAAGAACGGAUGGGUGUAAGCUUUUCUAGUGUGUCAUUAGUUUGAAGUCUGUACCAGUCGAACUGGCCUGGCAAAGGAUUACCAAGAAGGUGACUGUAGCUUAUAAACUUUAGCUUUUUGUUUUAGACUUUUAACAUUUUGUAUUUGGUAAAAUAUGAACCAAAUUAUGUUAUAGCUAGUUAUAUGUGUGAAACAACAAUGACAUAUAACCUACUAAUGGCAAUCAUGGACAUUUCGAUCUCAUGGGAGAACUAUUAAUAUUAAAUCUCUGUCCCUCAGAUUGCAGAUUUUGGACUGGUAAAGUUAUUAGAGAAUUCUCCAGAUGUCCGAGCAGCAGCAUCUAGAAUUGUUGGCACAUUUGGUUACCUUGCACCUGAGUGUGUACUUAUUUAGAUUCAUGCUGGUGAUUUUAAUUGAUCCUUUUGUCACCGUCUAAGGCAAUUACUGAAGCAAUGAUAUAAGAUCUUUUGAUGUUAUACAUUAAUUUCAAAACUAGGUACGUUCGGGACGGGUUUGUGACCACAAAGAGUGACGUCUAUUCCUUUGGAGUUGUUCUUAUGGAACUACUUACUGGCCAACCGGCAUUAAGUAAAGAUGCAAGUUCUGAAAAUUAUCAACUCAGCGAACAUCGUUCUGUGGUGCAAUAUAUGCUGUCAGCAUUAAAUGAUACCGAGGAUCCUUUCACCCAGCUGGAGAAAUGCAUUGAUCCAAACCUGACCUGCUACCACAAAGAUUCACUCUUCCAGGUAUUGAUCGCUCUUACUCUUCUCAUGCAUUUUGAAAGGGAUGGGGAGAGGGGGAUCAUUUAACCUCCCAAAAUUUCCAUGCAAACCUAUUAUCCUUGCCAAUGGCCUUGCAGCAAUUCUGCAUUGGCCUUUUUGUUGACAUUGACCAUUUUAAUCAUCCCAACCUACCUUCUAUCUGAAAAUUAUUCUGGCAACCGUGGUAUGUGCAACUGUUUUAUCAUAUGUUUUAACUGUUGCAUCAAAUAAUUAUUCAUCUCUAACUUGACUUUUGUUGGUUCUACUCUGUAAUAAGAUGGUCCUCUUGUCCAAAGACUGUGUUGAUGAUAAUUGGAACCGGCGUCCUGACAUGAGUAGAGUUGUGCUACGCCUUUCACACAUCCUGUUGAACUCCAAGGAUAGCCAGGAACUUGAAUGCAGCCAACUGAUGGCCUAAACUUUCACGAAUUGGCCUUUAUUGUCUCCCCUUUUCACAUGCCAUAUCUUACAAGUGAUAGCACUCAUCUAGCUUAAAUGGAAUGUUAAAUGUCUAUAUUUACAUUGAGAGGUGGAUGCAGCUGACUUGUGAUUAUGCAGUUACAGGAUAUGCAAAGUCUGCAGCACAUUCAGCCUCCUUUCCUAUAUGGGAAGCCAAAGGAAGGUCCUGGAACCAAUCUAUAAAUAUUUAUUUGUUUUCUUAUCAAAGUUUAACUGGAAUAUCAGUUACUGGAACCGCUAAUAGAAAUAUUUACACUAAUAGGAAUAUUAGUAGCAUUUAAAGAAAGGAUCUGUGUAUUUUCUUGAAAAGUUAUUACAGUAUACAUGUUUCCAGUAUUCCAUCAUUUUGAUCCCCUCCAAAUUUUAUCA
rnacentral:misc_RNA from 1 species